GAUGAAGAACGUAGCGAAAUGCGAUAAGUAAUGUGAAUUGCAGAAUUCAGUGAAUCAUCGAGUCUUUGAACGCACAUUGCGCCCCCUGGUAUUCCGGGGGGCAUGCCUGUCCGAGCGUCAUUGCUGCCCUCAAGCACGGCUUGUGUGUUGGGCCCCCGUCCCCGGUUUCCCCCGGGGACGGGCCCGAAAGGCAGCGGCGGCACCGCGUCCGGUCCUCGAGCGUAUGGGGCUUUGUCACCCGCUCUGUAGGCCCGGCCGGCGCCAGCCGACACCCAACUUUAUUUCUAAGGUUGACCUCGGAUCAGGUAGGGAUACCCGCUGAACUUAAGCAUAUCAAAAGCGGAGGA
rnacentral:misc_RNA from 1 species